rnacentral:rRNA from 1 species
AUUGAACGCUAGCGGGAUGCUUUACACAUGCAAGUCGAACGGCAGCGCGGACUUCGGUCUGGCGGCGAGUGGCGAACGGGUGAGUAAUGUAUCGGAACGUGCCCAGUAGCGGGGGAUAACUACGCGAAAGCGUAGCUAAUACCGCAUACGCCCUACGGGGGAAAGCAGGGGAUCGUAAGACCUUGCACUAUUGGAGCGGCCGAUAUCGGAUUAGCUAGUUGGUGAGGUAACGGCUCACCAAGGCGACGAUCCGUAGCUGGUUUGAGAGGACGACCAGCCACACUGGGACUGAGACACGGCCCAGACUCCUACGGGAGGCAGCAGUGGGGAAUUUUGGACAAUGGGGGCAACCCUGAUCCAGCCAUCCCACGUGUGCGAUGAAGGCCUUCGGGUUGUAAAGCACUUUUGGCAGGAAAGAAACGUCGCGGGCUAAUACCCCGUGGAACUGACGGUACCUGCAGAAUAAGCACCGGCUAACUACGUG